rnacentral:rRNA from 1 species
UACGGGGGGAGCAAGCGUUGUUCGGAUUUACUGGGCGUAAAGGGCGCGUAGGCGGCCUUCUAAGUCAGACGUGAAAUCCCCCGGCUUAACCUGGGAACUGCGUCUGAUACUGGGGGGCUUGAGUAUGGGAGAGGGAUGUAGAAUUCCAGGUGUAGCGGUGAAAUGCGUAGAUAUCUGGAGGAAUACCGGUGGCGAAGGCGGCAUCCUGGACCAUUACUGACGCUGAGGCGCGAAAGCUAGGGGAGCAAACGGG